CAGACAUAUCCAGAUGUCCCUUAUGGGGAAGGGAGAAUCGCCCUGGCUUUGCAGACUCCAGCUGGAACCCCUGCUGCAAGCGAUGGAGGAGCAACAGCUCGGCAAUCUGGAGGCAAGGUGGGAGGUGGAGAAGCACGGAAACGAAGUCUCUGGCUCAACCAGCAAAAGUGAACCACUCCCCAGGUAGGUCACCAAGGAUGGUAGUCAUUGUUUCAGUGGGAUCUGAGUGAUCUAAUUAACUUCCAGGGGGUUUCUCAGACCUGUCAACAAACCGGCUUCUCAGGUGAGUUUUGCCAAAGGACGGAGCAGAGAUGCACAGAGGGGCUCUUGCCGGAUACUCAGGUUCAGGUUUAAGGAGCACAGGCACUUUUGAGGCGGCGAUAGAACCAGAGUCCCCAGUUCUCUUGGAGCCACCCUUUAGGGCCUGGCCCAGGCUCCUCUGAGCCCUGAAACCCCUCCCACUUGAGCCCCUCCUGUGUCCUUCAAACUGCAGCUUCCGAGGCCAUUGGAAGGUAGUGAAGGGGGCGUGGUGUUUGUUUCUCUGUGACUUCCUGGCUGUGGCUGCAGUGAGCAGUUGACUUGUGUCACACUCAUCCUCAGUCAUGAUUAGGCACACCCACACUGUCCCGCUGACCACACUCCAGAAAAAGAGCCUGCAAGGGUCCCUCUGUAAGUGGAAGCAGCCUCCAUCUCAUUGGCCCUUCUAGAGACCGCCCGGGUCCCCUUCUGCGAUGAUGCCACACAGACCCACUCCAUCCUCUCCCCACACCUUGCCCUCAGGUCGCCUAGCAACCUCAGGGCGGCCAGCCUGGCCAAUCACCUAAUCACCUGUGGCUGCCAGCAUCCACCUGCCUCCCCAGGCUGGAGGGAGCAGGAACUCAAGUGCUCCCCUGCCCCUGGCUUCACCUCCACCCUUCAAUCCCCCCCACUGCCCCAGACCUUACAGAGGCAGCACAGUGACCAGCAUUUCGCAUCUCACCCUUUGCUCCCUGCCCAAGGCCCACUCUGCGGCUUAAUCUGUGACAUUUAACAUAAAUGGUUUUCUAUUCCCAGCUGACCUUUAAUGGCUUUUAUCAUCAGCUGUGGUUCCUGGCAGCCGUACAAGAGCUGGUGUCGGCUGCCCGAAUCUAUUCCAACAGAAUACCCAAGGAGAGCCCACAGUUUUCGCCACGUGAAGCUGGGGGGGUGCGCCUGGAGAUGUCUGCCGAGACUUGAGCUUGCCACUCUCGGCCCGGAAAUAUCAUUAUGUGUUUCAAUUAGAAUUAGUGGGGAAGCCAGUUAUUAAGUGGUUAGUUAUUAUGGUAAUGGAGACACUCCACAGUAGCUGGUGCGGGCCACUCUUGCCUUCCUCUAACGGCCACUUUUUAAAUCCCUAAUCCCUCCCUGAUGCUCUGUUUCCAAGUGCAGUAGGAUGGAAAUGGGAGGGAAGAGACCAGAAAGAGGUGGGUUUUGCAUCCCCCUCUUCCGCUCCGUGCCCCUUCCCCCGCCAAGAUACCAUUCCCAGCAGGUGUGUGCUGUAGUGACAUUAGCAAACCCUCCGCCUGAAAUCCCAAGCUGUGUCUUCACACCCUCAGAAGCAGAAGUCAUUGUGAGGGAGCGCCCACUUCCACCAACCCCUCCGGGCGUCUUUCCUCCCACUCACAGAUGGUCACCGUGUCAUCAUGGAAAGGAUGUGAGAGGACCCCUGUGGAGGUUUGGGUUUUGGCAAAGACCCUGCAGAUACUGAAGGUGCAGAGAAGUGAAUGAGGACUCUCAGGCUGAAGGGCAGGAGAGUGGAGCUCUGGGCCCAUCCUGCGAAUAACCUUAGGCAAGUCACAUGUCUUCCAGGAGCUCCAGCCCCUCCCUGCAUACUGAAGGUUCCGACCAGCUCUCAACCCUUCCUCUGC
rnacentral:lncRNA from 1 species